rnacentral:rRNA from 1 species
AACGAACGCUGGCGGCAGGCUUAACACAUGCAAGUCGAACGCCCCGCAAGGGGAGUGGCAGACGGGUGAGUAACGCGUGGGAAUCUACCCAGUUCUACGGAACAACUGAGGGAAACUUCAGCUAAUACAGUAUACGCCCUACGGGGGAAAGAUCUAUCGGAAUUGGAUGAGCCCGCGUUGGAUUAGCUAGUUGGUGAGGUAACGGCUCACCAAGACGACGAUCCAUAGCUGGUCUGAGAGGAUGAUCAGCCACACUGGGACUGAGACACGGCCCGGCCUCCUACGGGAGGCAGCAGUGGGGAAUAUUGGACAAUGGGCGCAAGCCUGAUCCAGCCAUGCCGCGUGAGUGAUGAAGGCCUUAGGGUUGUAAAGCUCUUUCAGUGGGGACGAUAAUGACGGUACCCACAGAAGAAGCCCCGGCUAACUUCGUGCCAGCAGCCGCCGUAA